GAUGAACGCUGGCGGCGUGCCUAAUACAUGCAAGUCGAGCGAACAGACGAGGAGCUUGCUCCUCUGGCGUUAGCGGCGGACGGGUGAGUAACACGUGGAUAACCUACCUAUAAGACUGGGAUAACUUCGGGAAACCGGAGCUAAUACCGGAUAAUAUAUUGAACCGCAUGGUUCAAUAGUGAAAGACGGUUUUGCUGUCACUUAUAGAUGGAUCCGCGCCGCAUUAGCUAGUUGGUAAGGUAACGGCUUACCAAGGCAACGAUGCGUAGCCGACCUGAGAGGGUGAAUGGGCACAAUGGAACUGAGACACGGUCCAGACUCCUACGGGAGGCAGCAGUAGGGAAUCUUCCGCAAUGGGCGAAAGCCUGACGGAGCAACGCCGCGUGAGUGAUGAAGGUCUUCGGAUCGUAAAACUCUGUUAUUAGGGAAGAACAAAUGUGUAAGUAACUAUGCACGUCUUGACGGUACCUAAUCAGAAAGCCACGGCUAACUACGUG
rnacentral:rRNA from 1 species